GACGAACGCUGGCGGCGUGCUUAACACAUGCAAGUCGAACGGAAAGGCUCCAGCUUGCUGGAGUACUCGAGUGGCGAACGGGUGAGUAACACGUGGGUAAUCUGCCCUGCACUCUGGGAUAAGCCUGGGAAACUGGGUCUAAUACUGGAUAUGACCUUUCUCCUUAUGGGGUUUGGUGGAAAGUUUUUCGGUGUAGGAUGAGCCCGCGGCCUAUCAGCUUGUUGGUGGGGUGAUGGCUUACCAAGGCGACGACGGAUAGCCGGCCUGAGAGGGUGAUCGGCCACAUUGGGACUGAGAUACGGCCCAGACUCCUACGGGAGGCAGCAGUGGGGAAUAUUGCACAAUGGGCGGAAGCCUGAUGCAGCGACGCCGCGUGAGGGAUGACGGCCUUCGGGUUGUAAACCUCUUUCAGCAGGGACGAAGCGUAAGUGACGGUACCUGCAGAAGAAGCACCGGCUAACUAUGUG
rnacentral:rRNA from 1 species